rnacentral:rRNA from 1 species
GACGAACGCUGGCGGCGUGCUUAACACAUGCAAGUCGAACGGUGAAGCGCCUUCCUUUUUGGUGGGUGUGGAUGAGUGGCGAACGGGUGAGUAACACGUGAGUAACCUGCCCCCUUCUUCUGGAUAACCGCAUGAAAGUGUGGCUAAUACGGGAUAUUCUGGGUCUGUCGCAUGAUGGGUCUGGGAAAGAUAUUGUUUCGGUGGGGGAUGGGCUCGCGGCCUAUCAGCUUGUUGGUGGGGUGAUGGCCUACCAAGGCGGUGACGGGUAGCCGGCCUGAGAGGGUGGACGGUCACACUGGGACUGAGACACGGCGCAGACUCCGACGGGAGGCAGCAGUGGGGAAUAUUGCACAAUGGGCGCAAGCCUGAUGCAGCGACGCCGCGUGAGGGAUGGAGGCCGUCGGGUUGUGAACCUCUUUUGCCAGUGAAGCAGGCCUGCCUCGUUUGUGGGUGGGUUGACGGUAGCUGGAUAAGAAGCGCCGGCUAACUACGUG